AUGGCAUCGGGGACAUCUCUUCUCCUCUGGUUGCUCCUCUUGUUGCCGUCGUUUGCCAUUUCCUCAGCAUCGAGCCGUGGCAUCCGUCUUGAGCUAACGCACGCAGACACCCGCGGUGACUUCACGGGGAUCGAGCGCAUCCGUCGCGCUGCCGAACGGAGCCACCGCCGAGUCAACGGCCUCCUCGCCGCUGCCCCUCCAUCCCCUGCAUCGCUGCAGAGCGGCGGUGCUGAUGAAACGGCGGCCGUUCACGCGAGCGCGGCAACGUACCUCGUCGACCUCGCCAUCGGCACGCCGCCGCUAGCGAUCACCGCGGUCCUCGACACGGGCAGCGACCUCAUCUGGACGCAGUGCGACGCGCCCUGCCGGAAGUGCUUCCCGCAGCCCACGCCGCUGUACGCGCCGGCCAGGUCGGCGACAUACGCCAACGUGUCGUGCCGCUCAUCGCUGUGCGAGGCGCUCCGAGACCCGAGGUACCAUUGCUCGGCCCCCGAUCCCGGCUGUCCGUACUAUUUCUCCUACGGCGACGGCACCUCUACAGACGGCGCCCUCGCCACCGAGACGUUGACGCUCGGCUCAGGCACUGCCGUGCACGGCAUCGCGUUCGGCUGCGGCACGGAGAACCUUGGCAGCACGGACAACUCGUCCGGUCUGGUCGGGAUGGGAAGGGGGCCACUUUCGCUCGUGUCCCAGCUGGGCAUCACCAGGUUCUCCUACUGCUUCACGCCCUUCAGCGACAAGGCGGCGAGCCCUCUCUUCUUAGGCCCGUCGGCGACCCUCUCGACCACCGCCCAGUCCACGCCGUUCGCGCCGAACCCAGCCGGCGGGCGCAGGAGCUCAUAUUACUACCUCACGCUGGAAGGGAUCACCGUCGGCAAGACCCUGCUGCCGAUCGACCCCGCCGUGUUCCAGCUGUCGCCCAUGGGCGGCGGCGGGUUCAUCAUCGAUUCCGGCACGACGUUCACCGCGCUGGAGGAGCGCGCGUUCGUGGUGCUGGCCCGCGCGGUCGCGGCGCGCGUUGGGCUCCCGCUGGCCAGCGGCGCGCACCUCGGCCUCAGCCUCUGCUUCGCUGCACCGGAGGGGAAGACCGAGGCGGUGGACGUGCCGCGCCUGGUGUUCCACUUCGACGGCGCGGACAUGGCGCUUCCCAGGGAGAGCUACGUUGUGGAGGACCGGAACGCUGGGGUGGCCUGCCUCGGGAUGGUGAGCAUGCGGGGGAUGUCGGUGCUCGGCAGCAUGCAGCAGCAGAGCAUGCACUUUCUGUAUGAUCUUGAGGGGGGCGUGCUGUCGUUCGAGCCAGCUGAAUGCGACGAGCUCUAG
rnacentral:rRNA from 1 species